rnacentral:rRNA from 1 species
GCCGAGAUGGCUUAGUGCCUUCGGGAACCGUGAGACAGGUGCUGCAUGGCUGUCGUCAGCUCGUGUUGUGAAAUGUUGGGUUAAGUCCCGCAACGAGCGCAACCCUUAUCCUUUGUUGCCAGCACGUAAUGGUGGGAACUCAAAGGAGACUGCCGGUGAUAAACCGGAGGAAGGUGGGGAUGACGUCAAGUCAUCAUGGCCCUUACGAGUAGGGCUACACACGUGCUACAAUGGCAUAUACAAAGAGAAGCGAACUCGCGAGAGCAAGCGGACCUCAUAAAGUAUGUCGUAGUCCGGAUUGGAGUCUGCAACUCGACUCCAUGAAGUCGGAAUCGCUAGUAAUCGUAGAUCAGAAUGCUACGGUGAAUACGUUCCCGGGCCUUGUACACACCGCCCGUCACACCAUGGGAGUGGGUUGCAAAAGAAGUAGGUAGCUUAACCUUCGGGAGGGCGCUUACCACUUUGUGAUUCAUGACUGGGGUGAAGUCGUAACAAGGUAACCGU